rnacentral:rRNA from 1 species
UUGCACAAUGAGCGAAAGCUUGAUGCAGCCAUGCCGCGUGUGUGAAGAAGGCCCGAGGGUUGUAAAGCACUUUCAAAUGCGAGGAAGAUGAUAGAGCUAAUACCUNUAUGGUUUGACGUUAACAUUANAAGAAGCACCGGCUAACUCUGUGCCAGCAGCCGCGGUAAUACAGAGGGUGCAAGCGUUAUUCGGAAUUACUGGGCGUAAAGCGCGCGUAGGCGGACUGUUAAGUCGGUUGUGAAAGCCCUGGGCUCAACCUGGGAACGGCAUCCGAUACUGGCAAUCUAGAGUUUAAGAGAGGAAAGUGGAAUUCCUAGUGUAGCANUGAAAUGCGUAGAUAUUAGGAGGAACAUCAGUGGCGAAGGCGACUUUCUGGCUUAAAACUGACGCUGAGGUGCGAAAGCGUGGGUAGCGAACGGGAUUANAUACCCCGGUAGUCCAUGCCGUAAACGAUGUCAACUAGUUGUGGGGCCUAUUAAAAGGUUUCGUAACGUAGCUAACGCGAUAAGUUGACCGCCUGGGGAGUACGGUCGCAAGAUU